rnacentral:lncRNA from 1 species
GUUUGAUUCGGUACUUUUUGGUAAGUAGCACGCCGGUCUCGAGAGAGGAGGAGACGGGUGUUACAGUAAGUUUGCCCUGAAUUAGUUUCCUUGUCGAAAUAGAUUUUUGUUCCAGAUGUGUCAUUUUAAGAACAGACUGUCUGAAAAAUAAUGAUUGUUGAAUGUUCCAAGAAGCAUUAGAGUCGUAUUCAGUUAUCCGAAACAGAGAAUAAGCCACAGAGUACCUCCUAUAAUCUUAGGAUUUAUGCUUGU